ensembl:lncRNA
GCAGGGUGGACCAGGGUAACCAUCACCAAGCCGCUCUGAAACUAAUUGCAGAGGUUGACUAUUUUUUAUUAUCUUUCUCAGAUUUUCAUUCUGACAGUAGUAGUUUAUACAUUUCUCAACGAGUCACCUUGUAAGCUUGAAGUUAGAUAUUUUUUCCCCUUUACAAAUGCAAGGGUGUGCAGGUUUGACCUCCCCGGCUUUGUUACCAGAUUUUGGACCCAACUACUGCCGUUUGAUGUUAGGUCAGGACGCGUUGGUGGAGGAGGUGGGCUGAUGGAGGAGAGCCGACGGAGCCAUGGUGGACGAGAGCCGAUGGAGCCAUGGUGGACGAGAGCCGACGGCGCCAUGGUGGACGAGAGCCGACGGAGCCAUGGUGGACGAGGGCCGACGGAGGAGCCGUGGUGGAGGUCCUGCCUUAAGAAUGAUGUCGGGGUCAGGACGCGUUGGUGGAGGAGGAGGACUGAUUGAGGAGAGCUGACGGAGCCAUGGUGGACGAGAGCCGACGGAGCCAUGGUGGACGAGAGCCGACGGAGCCAUGGUGGACGAGAGCCGACGGAGCCAUGGUGGACGAGAGCCGCCGGCGCCAUGGUGGACGAGAGCCGACGGCGCCAUGGUGGACGAGAGCCGACGGCGCCAUGGUGGACGGAGGCCCUGCCUUAAGAAUGAUGACGGGACCUGAUGGCCUUGGCUGAUGGAGGAACUGCAUCUGGAGGACGACCAUGAAUCUACCUGCCAACAGGUGGUACUGGUUUGCACUGGUUUGCAUGAACUGAACAUGGUGGACAUGAGGCAAAUUCCCUGCUUUUUGCUCCAGACCAGGACUCUGUGAUGGAGGGGGGCUGAUAGAGCCGUGCUGAGGACCUGCUGGUGAAGGACGUCCCUCGGUGGGGGGGCAAGGACAGCCGACCCUGAGACCAGGAGUCCUUGCCUGAGGAGAGCUGAUGGAGGAGCCGUACACCUGGAGAACCAUGAGUCUGCCUGCCAACAAGUAGUACUGGUAUGUUUGCAUGAACUAAACAUGACUUGUACUGGGAAACAACAGUUUACUACCA